rnacentral:pre_miRNA from 1 species
CUGGACAUGGAUGUAUAGGUAGUAGUGGGCCCAAAUAGCAAGUGUUGUGAGAAGGAGUAAAAAAGAGAAGAUAUUUUAGAGACAAGUAUGAAACAACUUAUUGAAUAACUUGGCUUUUAUCACGUGACUUAUAGCCAAGCACUUGGCUCUAUUAGAGCAAGAUCAAUAAUAGAGCCAAGUGUUUGGCUAUAAGUUAAGUGAUUAGAGCCAAGUUAUACAAUAAGUUGUCUCAUACUUGUCUCUAAAAUAUCUUCUAUUUCUUAUUCCUUCUCACAACACUUGCUAUUUGGGCCCACUACUACUUAUGGAUCCGUGCUCAG